rnacentral:tRNA from 1 species
UCCGGUGUAGCUCAAUGGUAGAGCAGCGCGCUGUUAACGCGUUGGUUGUAGGUUCGAAUCCUACCGCCGGAG